rnacentral:rRNA from 1 species
CGGACGGGUGAGUAAUGUCUGGGAAACUGCCCGAUGGAGGGGGAUAACUACUGGAAACGGUAGCUAAUACCGCAUAGCGUCGCAAGACCAAAGAGGGGGACCUUCGGGCCUCUUGCCAUCGGAUGUGCCCAGAUGGGAUUAGCUAGUAGGUGGGGUAACGGCUCACCUAGGCGACGAUCCCUAGCUGGUCUGAGAGGAUGACCAGCCACACUGGAACUGAGACACGGUCCAG